CCCAUGUGAGUCAUAUUUCAAAAGCUACCUAUGGAUACAGGCUAGAAGGGGGUCAAGUAGAGGAUGGAGAGAAGGGGUCUUAUUCUUAGGUUCCCCACUAUCUCAGGACCUUCUCACUUACUGGGGAAUCCCUGGAUUUGAGUGGAUUCAGUCCAACAACCUGCGUGGGUGUGUUCUUAGGAACUGAUAGAACAAAUGGCCAGAAAAAUCAGGAAGUCAGUAAGAAUAUUGAAGACUUGAAUAACACUAACUGUCAACUUGAUUUAACUGGUCCAUUCAUUCUUCCAAAGAGAAUCAUUUACCGGCUAUUGUCUGUGCUCUUGGCCCAUUCAAUCCCCCAACAAUCAUUUACUACCCUUCAAAAAGAAUUGCCUACACUCCCCCUCUUCCCUCUGCCCUACGAGGAAGAAACGAACAUGGGAAGAAACAACAAACCUCACUGGGUUGGUGGAUAAUCAUACUCCUGGAAUUUUCCCUCCUACAACUUAAAUAAAUUUAUAUGCCUCU